rnacentral:rRNA from 1 species
CCUUUUCCGGNUCUUCCGCGCCGUAGCUAACGCAUUAAGUGCCCCGCCUGGGGAGUACGGCCGCAAGGCUAAAACUCAAAGGAAUUGACGGGGGCCCGCACAAGCGGCGGAGCAUGCGGAUUAAUUCGAUGCAACGCGAAGAACCUUACCAAGGCUUGACAUGUGCCGGUCUGCUCCGGAGACGGGGUUUCCUCCCUUGUGGGGGCUGGUUCACAGGUGGUGCAUGGUUGUCGUCAGCUCGUGUCGUGAGAUGUUGGGUUAAGUCCCGCAACGAGCGCAACCCUUGUCUCGUGUUGCCAGCACGUUGUGGUGGGGACUCGCGGGAGACUGCCGGGGUCAACUCGGAGGAAGGUGGGGAUGACGUCAAAUCAUCAUGCCCCUUAUGUCUUGGGCUUCACGCAUGCUACAAUGGCCGGUACAGAGGGCUGCGAUACCGUGAGGUGGAGCGAAUCCCUUAAAGCCGGUCUCAGUUCGGAUCGGUGUCUGCAACUCGACACCGUGAAGUUGGAGUCGCUAGUAAUCGCAGAUCAGCAACGCUGCGGUGAAUACGUUCUCGGNC